AGCGAACGCUGGCGGCAGGCCUAACACAUGCAAGUCGAACGAAGUCUUCGGACUUAGUGGCGGACGGGUGAGUAACACGUGGGAACGUGCCUUUAGGUUCGGAAUAACUCAGGGAAACUUGUGCUAAUACCGAAUGUGCCCUUCGGGGGAAAGAUUUAUCGCCUUUAGAGCGGCCCGCGUCUGAUUAGCUAGUUGGUGAGGUAAAGGCUCACCAAGGCGACGAUCAGUAGCUGGUCUGAGAGGAUGAUCAGCCACAUUGGGACUGAGACACGGCCCAAACUCCUACGGGAGGCAGCAGUGGGGAAUCUUGCGCAAUGGGCGAAAGCCUGACGCAGCCAUGCCGCGUGAAUGAUGAAGGUCUUAGGAUUGUAAAAUUCUUUCAGUAGGGACGAUAAUGACGGUACCUACAGAAGAAGCCCCGGCUAACUUCGUGCCAGCCGCCGCGGUAAGAC
rnacentral:rRNA from 1 species